rnacentral:lncRNA from 1 species
UCAUAGCUGAAUUAUGGCACAUCACUCCUUUGCUGUAAGUUUCUUCAGAUCCUUUCUGGAGGGAGAUAGGAAAGGCAAUAAAUAAAUAAAUAAGAAGGAAAUGAUUUAGAGAGAAUAGUGUCUUCUUAACCGCUGAAGUAACUUCUUUUCUAGUAGUGGUGGUGGGGUUCUUUUGAUGAGAAACUUGUCUGAUGAGUUCGUUGUAGGAUAGAGUGAAGUCCUUGGGUAUCCAGAUUUCAAGAUGAGGUUUCUCUGUAGAUGAAGAGAGACAAGAAAGACCAGAGAUGGAGCUGCUAGGCACAGAGACAUGGAAAGAGACUCUCUGAUGGGAACUCCCCCGCCAUGGCUCUGCAGACCUUCAGUAACACGAACAAUCACAAUAGGUCUGGGAUUGUUGGAUUUCUGGUGGAAGCUGGCGAGGAGGCUGCCUUUUCUGUAGGAGAUAGCACAGGAACAGAGUCAGCUGAAUGGAUGAAGUCUCUAACACCUGGCUCACAUUUGAUUACGUAAGCCACACCUCAGCAUUUGGAAUCCUGGAAUGUAGCUUUUGUUCAUUUGUAGAAGGCAUCAUCAAGAAGACCGAGCACAUUGUCUGAUGUGAAGCCCCAACAGAGCUGCAGAGGGAGCCCCCAUCAUGGGUCUAUCCGUAGAUGCAGCUGCCCCUCCCUUCUGCAGUCCACACGCUUUUUAGGCAGGGUGUGUGCACUCCCUUUGGUUAAUCAACUUUCAUACCUGGGUAGAUUUUUGCCUCUGUAAAAGGUCACCUAGGUUACCUUUCCCCUCGGCCUAGUCAGGCUUCAUGAUCCCAUUCUAAUCUAAUUUUAAAUUAACUGCUGAGUAGAUUUAUAAGAAUUUCAUAAUAAUAUUGGACAUUUGGUUAGAGAAUUAUCUGCUCCACUUUCUAACAUGAAUGAAUUGGCCAUGAAAUUGCAGGAGUGCAAUUAAUGUCAUUAAGCAAUUCCUUCCCAUUCUAUUUAUGUUGUUCUUUAUUUUUCAAGGGAGGGGUGGUUUAAAUUAAUUUAUUGAUUAGGUAUUUUAUUGCUACUUGAUAGGAGUGGAUCUACUGUUUCAUGCCUUGUUGUUUCCAGAGACUAGAGAGAGUCUUUCUGAUGGUGAGCGGGGUGAUGCCAUAACCCGGGUAAAAGAUCCCUUUUGCUGCCUUUGUAGUCUAGUGGACCAUUUAAUAUGUGGGAGAGUGAAACUACAGGCAGAAUUCCGGCACCAUCUUCUGAAUACUUCAUUUGGAUGUACCUUAGGCACCUGAAUGCCAGCAUCCAACUGAAACAAAGCUGUGUUAAGGACCAUACCUCCUCUUCCACCCUGAUACCCACCUACCUCCUGCCCACUUCCUGUUUCCCUUCCACUCUGAGACCAGCAUCUCCUUCCACAUCACUGCUGUGGCCUGAUCCUCAAAACUUCAGUGGCUCCUCUUUUAGCCCCAUGUUGCCGCUGAUGUCACUCAGAUUCCACUGCCAGUCCCUUGGCUCACGCCUUCGGCAUCGAUGGAUUGAUGUGACAGCCUCCUCAUUGGUCUCUUUGUUCCCUUCAUGCCAUUUUCCACCUUACUGCCAGAAUGAUCCUUCUGGAAGCAAAACAGUUUCUGUCACCCUUUGUUUCAAGUCCCCUAGUGGCUCUCCAUAACCUUCCUGAUAAAAUGCCUAUUUCUUAAGGUAAUUCUGGAUGAACUAUCCUUGUUCCUGCCCUGCCAAGUUUCUGCCUGUUUCCUCUGCAUGAUACACAGUGAACAGGUUGGGCUUAUACAGUGAAGGAGGCAGGUAAAAAAACCUAAAGAUUUCACACACACACACACACACACACACACACGCGUGUGCGCACGUGCCUACUGACCAUCAACCUUUCUUUUAGGACUGAAGUCAUGGGUUAACUCCAGCUAGGACACUUGGGCUUAGAAAUGUGAAGAGUGUCACCUGGUCAAGCAAGCCUCUUGUUUACUUACUCUUCUUCCUACACUCCUUUUCUAGCAAGGGCUGGAAGCUCUCAUAUUCCUUCUUCAGAGUCCUAUUGCACCUGUUGGGUUACCCACCUCUCUCUUCCUGGAGGGCUGGGGAGGGAGGGUGAGCCUCACGGUGCCCAGGCAACAUGGCUUCCAGCAGGAACUGGAAGAGCCAAGCCUAGUGGGACUGGCCAGGCACCACAGAGGGCCAAAGUCGUGGCUGUCUGGCAUCUGAGCUCCUUUAAUGCCCCUUUCCACCUUUACGGUUCUCUUGGGUGGUGGAAACGACCACGGUGCUGUGUGGUUCAAGGCAUGACUAGUGGUUGACGCAUGCAAAGGUUCUGGGGAAUAAAAUAAGCCCGAAAAUGGCCAGAAUGCAUGAGGCAUCUGCCAAAAUCUAACCUAUUGUGAUGUCUGGCCCGCUUGGUGCUCUCCAAGCACUCAGAGGUGGCAGAGGAAAUGGAAUCCAUUUAGUUCCCCCGUGACUGCCCCCCACCAUGAAUAGCCUGAAGAGGGUUUUCUUGUGAAAGCGUCUGCUUCAACCUUCUGUUUCUGUCCCGUGUUUUAUUGUCUCCCCUCCUUUGCUGCUGCUAUUUUACUGCCUCUACCCUGACAAAGCACCAGGUUUAUUUUCUAGCUCUGUGUGUCUGCCCGCUUGGGUGUCUAACCAAUGUAUCAGCCUCAGCUAAUACAUUAGAAUUUGAAUAAAUGUAUAACAGCAGGUAGCAAGUGACUGGUGACAGGGUGACAUAUUGACUUAAUAUCUUGUGUAAUGUGAUAUGAAGGAUGUGCCUUUUGGUGUGUAUUUUCAUUUUAAUUAUUUUUUGUUGCUUUUCUUAGGCAGACACUUGUAGGCAGCUUUGAGUAAUUGUCUGAAAUCAUUAACAUGUUUAUUAAAUAAGGAAGCAGAGUGCAUUAUCUAGUGAAUCAAUUAUGUAAAUGCACAAAAAGCAUAAGAAAUUAGUCUUUAACUGUUGCUGAACUGCAUCCAUUUUCUAAAUUAUAGAUGAAAGUUGCUGUGUGUGCGUGUGUGUGUGUGUGUGUGUGUGUAUGUGUAUGUGUGUUGGGGGGAGGAAGGUAUAUUUAGAUUCAUUUCCCUUUCUUAGAGUUUUAAAGCAGCAACAAUUAAUCUGUGAUUUUCUUUGGUGGG